rnacentral:rRNA from 1 species
GAUGAACGCUGGCGGCGUGCCUAAUACAUGCAAGUCGAGCGAACGGACGAGAAGCUUGCUUCUCUGAUGUUAGCGGCGGACGGGUGAGUAACACGUGGAUAACCUACCUAUAAGACUGGGAUAACUUCGGGAAACCGUAGCUAAUACCGGAUAAUAUUUUGAACCGCAUGGUUCAAAAGUGAAAGACGGUCUUGCUGUCACUUAUAGAUGGAUCCGCGCUGCAUUAGCUAGUUGGUAAGGUAACGGCUUACCAAGGCAACGAUGCAUAGCCGACCUGAGAGGGGGACGGGCCAACCUGGAACUGAGACACGGUCCAAACCCCCACGGGAGGAAGCAGUAGGGAAUUUUCCGAAAUGGGGGAAACCCGGACGGAGCAACCCCGGGUGAGUGAUGAAGGCUUUGGGAUGUAAAAACCCUUUUAUUGGGUAAAAAAAUAUGUGAAAGUAACUGUGCACAUUUUGACGGUACCUAAUCAGAAAGCCACGGCUAACUACGU